UACGUAGGGUGCGAGCGUUAAUCGGAAUUACUGGGCGUAAAGCGCGUUCAGGCGGUUUGGCAAGUCGGGCAUGAAAUCUCUCGGCUCAACCGGGAGAGGUUGUCCGAUACUUCCAGACUUGAGGGCAGUAGAGGGUGGUGGAAUUCCGGGUGUAGUGGUGAAAUGCGUAGAUAUCCGGAGGAACACCAGUGGCGAAAGCGGCCACCUGGACUGCACCUGACGCUGACACGCGAAAGCUAGGGGAGCGAACGGG
rnacentral:rRNA from 1 species